UGAUAAGAGUGGCAUUCGUACCAUAUAU
rnacentral:piRNA from 1 species